UGGGGAAUAUUGCGCAAUGGGCGAAAGCCUGACGCAGCGACGCCGCGUGAGGGAUGAAGGUUUUUGGAUCGUAAACCUCUCUCAGAAGGGAAGAAACAGCACUGUGUUAAUCAGCAGUGCAUUGACGGUACCUUCAAAGGAAGCACCGGCUAAAUCCGUGCCAGCAGCCGCGGAAAUACGGAGGGUGCAUGCGUUAAUCGGAAUUACUGCGCGUAAAGCGCACGUAGGCUGCUUUGUAAGUCAGGUGUGAAAUCCCACGGCUCAACCGUGGAACUGCCUUUGAUACUGCUUUGCUUGAAUCCGGGUGAAGAUCGCGGAAUGCCAGGUGUAGGAGUGAAAUCCGUAGAUAUCUGGUGGAACAUCAGUGGCGAAGGCGUCCACCUGGACCGGUUUUGACGCUGAGGUGCGAAAGCGUGGGGAGCAAACAGG
rnacentral:rRNA from 1 species